CAGUAGCCGCGGUAAUACGGAGGGUGCAAGCGUUAAUCGGAAUUACUGGGCGUAAAGCGUGCGUAGGCGGUUCGUUAAGUCUGUUGUGAAAGCCCCGGGCUCAACCUGGGAAUGGCAAUGGAUACUGGCGAGCUAGAGUGUGUCAGAGGAUGGUGGAAUUCCCGGUGUAGCGGUGAAAUGCGUAGAGAUCGGGAGGAACAUCAGUGGCGAAGGAGGCCAUCUGGGACAACACUGACGCUGAGGCACGAAAGCGUGGGGAGCAAACAGGAUUAGAUACCCGUGUAGUCCCUGUCUCUUAUAC
rnacentral:rRNA from 1 species